CUUUGCGUACAGGGUGUGCCACAGACAAUUGGGUUAAUGGUUGUAACUGGUUAAUUGAUUGACACUUAAUUUUCAGAGUUCGACCAUAACUAAAGAGAGAUGAGCUCCUUGAGGAGCUUCCCACUCCCCUAGUCCUCUUCUGCUGAAAACUACUGGGUCCUCAAUUUUUCCUGAAUACACCGCUCAUGUGGCCACCCCUAACUGACCCAGUUGACCAUGGAUCCAAUUUCAGCCACUUUGUGGAUUGGCCAAAACUCUAAAAGGAAGCUUACCAUCAAAAUUUCUGUCCAAAAAGGAAUGAUGAACAAUUAUCUAGGCCAACUGAAUUCUUCUUUACUCUGGUACUGAAAACAUAUAAAAGAAAGGAGGAAAUCUGAGACCACAAGGUGGGAAGGGUUAUAAGAAUUUACAGAAGUCACAAUGAUGAGAAAGCAGAAGAUAUGAGGUGGAGAAGGUAAUACAAUAACUUGACCCCUCUUUUUGUUGACGAUGACUUUCUGUUGCUUACAAUAAAAAGACCCCAGUAGCUGGGCACAGUGGCUCAUGCCUGUAAUCCCAGCACUUUAGGAGGCUGAGGUGGGCAGGUCGCCUGAUGUCGGGAGUUUCAGACCAGCCUAUCCAACAUGGUAAAACCCUGUCUCUACUAAAAAUACAAAAAUUAGCUGGACAUGGUGGUGUGCGCCUGUAGUCCCAGACUCAGGAGGCUGAGGCAGGAGAAUCAGUUGAACCCAGGAGGCAGAGGUUGCAGUGAAGCCGAG
rnacentral:lncRNA from 10 species